GUGAAUCAUCGAAUUUUUGAACGCAAAUUGCACUUUCUGGGAUUACGGAAAGUAUGCCUGUUUGAGGGUCAGAAAAAUAAACAUCGGUGUUGUUGCUGCGUUUCGUGGUUACGCGUCGGGAUUGAGUUGUCUUACUUUCGGUUAAGUGACUUAAAAUUUUGCAAGUUUUUCGAUCGUAUUUAAACUUCUUACUUACGUUUGAGAUAUCGAAUACUGUAUUAGGUUAGGUCUUCCUCAUA
rnacentral:misc_RNA from 1 species